rnacentral:rRNA from 1 species
AAAGAGGCAUUAUUUUCAUUCGAGGACGUGCCUUCCUCUUUGCCCCCUGCUGUCACUCACAUUUUGCAGGAGUUCGCUGACGUCUUCCCACAAGACGUGCCACCGGGAUUACCACCUAUUCGAGGGAUUGAGCAUCAAAUUGACUUAAUUCCCGGUGCAUCGCUACCCAACCGUGCACCAUACCGUACCAAUCCAGAGGAGACGAAGGAGAUUAUGCGUCAAGUACAGGAGCUGCUCGACAAAGGUUAUAUACGCGAAUCUCUUAGUCCUUGUGCUGUUCCUAUUAUACUCGUGCCUAAAAAGGAUGGUACGUCGCGUAUGUGUGUUGAUUGUAGAGGCAUUAAUAAUAUUACUAGUCGUUAUCGUCAUCCUAUUCCUCGGCUCGAUGAUAUGCUUGAUGAAUUGAGUGGCUCUACAAUAUUCUCCAAAGUUGAUUUGCGUAGUGGAUACCAUCAAAUUCGUAUGAAAUUGGGAGAUGAAUGGAAAACUGCAUUUAAAACUAAGUUUGGUUUAUAUGAGUGGUUAGUCAUGCCUUUUGGGUUAACUAAUGCACCUAGUACUUUCAUGAGACUAAUGAACGAAGUUUUACGUGCUUUCAUUGGACGAUUUGUGGUGGUCUAUUUUGAUGAUAUACUGAUUUAUAGCAAAUCUUUGGAAGAACAUUUGGAACAUUUACGUGCUGUUUUUAUUGCUCUACGUGAUGCACGUUUGUUUGGUAACCUUGGGAAGUGCACCUUUUGCACCGACCGAGUAUCUUUUCUUGGCUAUGUUGUUACUCCACAGGGAAUUGAAGUUGAUAAAGCCAAGAUUGAAGCUAUUGCGAGUUGGCCGCAGCCCAAAACGGUCACACAAGUGCGGAGUUUUCUUGGACUCGCUGGUUUCUAUAGGCGUUUUGUGAGAGAUUUUAGCACCAUUGCUGCACCUCUCAACGAGCUUACAAAGAAGGCUGUGCCUUUUGUUUGGGGUACCGCACAGGAAGAAGCCUUCACGGUCUUGAAAGAUAAGUUGACACAUGCUCCUUUACUCCAACUUCCUGAUUUUAAUAAGACUUUUGAGCUUGAAUGUGAUGCUAGUGGCAUUGGAUUAGGAGGUGUGUUAUUACAAGAUGGCAAACCUGUUGCAUACUUUUCUGAAAAAUUGAGUGGGCCUAGUCUGAAUUAUUCUACUUAUGAUAAAGAACUAUAUGCUCUUGUUCGGACUUUAGAAACAUGGCAACAUUAUUUAUGGCCCAAAGAAUUUGUUAUACAUUCUGAUCAUGAAUCUUUGAAACAUAUUAAAAGUCAAGCCAAACUGAAUCGUAGACAUGCUAAAUGGGUUGAAUUCAUUGAAACUUUCCCUUAUGUCAUUAAACACAAGAAGGGUAAAGAAAAUGUUAUUGCUGAUGCAUUGUCUCGUCGCUAUACUAUGCUUUCACAACUUGACUUCAAAAUAUUUGGUUUGGAGACCAUCAAAGAUCAAUAUGUGCAUGAUGCUGAUUUUAAAGAUGUAUUGCAGAAUUGUAAAGAAGGAAGAACCUGGAACAAGUUUGUCGUUAAUGAUGGAUUUGUGUUCCGUGCUAACAAGCUAUGCAUUCCAGCUAGCUCUCUUCGUCUUUUGUUGUUGCAGGAGGCGCAUGGAGGAGGAUUAAUGGGACACUUUGGCAUGAAGAAGACGGAGGACGUACUUGCUACACAUUUCUUUUGGCCAAAGAUGAGACGGGAUGUUGAGCGUUUUGUUGCUCGCUGCACUACAUGUCAAAAAGCUAAGUCACGACUAAAUCCUCAUGGUUUAUAUAUGCCUUUGCCUGUACCUAGUGUUCCUUGGGAGGAUAUAUCUAUGGACUUUGUUUUAGGUUUACCUCGAACAAAGAAGGGGAGGGAUAGCAUAUUUGUUGUCGUGGAUAGAUUUUCGAAAAUGGCGCACUUUAUACCAUGUCAUAAAAGCGAUGAUGCUGUUAAUGUUGCUGAUUUGUUCUUUCGUGAAAUUAUUCGCUUGCAUGGUGUGCCAAAUACUAUUGUUUCAGAUCGUGAUACUAAAUUUCUUAGCCACUUUUGGAGAUGUUUAUGGGCUAAAUUGGGGACUAAACUGCUUUUUAGUACUACUUGUCACCCCCAAACUGAUGGACAAACUGAAGUAGUCAAUAGAACAUUGUCUACUAUGCUUAGGGCUGUUUUGAAGAAUAAUAAGAAAAUGUGGGAAGACUGCUUGCCUCAUAUUGAGUUUGCUUAUAAUCGUUCAUUGCAUUCUACUACUAAGAUGUGCCCUUUUGAAAUUGUGUAUGGUUUCCUACCUCGUGCACCUAUUGAUUUGUUGCCUCUUCCAUCUUCGGAGAAGGUUAAUUUUGAUGCUAAACAACGUGCUGAAUUGAUCUUAAAAAUCCAUGAGUUAACUAAGGAAAACAUUGAGCGUAUGAAUGCUAAAUAUAAACUUGCUGGAGAUAAGGGUAGAAAACAUGUUGUGUUUGCACCUGGAGAUCUUGUUUGGUUACAUUUGCGUAAGGAUAGAUUUCCUGAUUUGCGCAAAUCAAAGCUAAUGCCACGUGCUGAUGGUCCUUUUAAGGUGUUAGAGAAAAUAAAUGAUAAUGCAUAUAAACUUGAGCUGCCUGCAGAUUUUGGGGUUAGUCCCACUUUUAAUAUUGCAGAUUUGAAGCCUUAUUUGGGUGAGGAAGAU